UUUCUGUCCACGGAAUUAUUGUGCCAUGGUUUGUUAUUUAAAUGCAAAUGCUAACAUGCCAGGUAGCACCUCAGUGAGCUGUGUCGUGGCCACAUGCUCUUUCAACAGAAACUCACAAAAAUAUCUGUGCAUGUGGACUCAGCAUGAGCAAUGGAAUUAAGGACAUUCCAUUUUUUUUCCUUUGGAUUACUUAUUUUUGAGGCAGGGGGGAGUGUGUCUUAAAUUGUUCUUAAGGUAUGUUUGAGGUCCAGCAAAUACUCAGUGAAAGAUUUCAAUUCAUUUUUAAUAAUUUCCACCCAGUGUGAUUUAUCCAUUGUGCAAUAAGGAGCUCUUCAACCCAAACAGGAAGUAAAAUAAGGUCUGCUUUAUGCUUGCAUAUUUAAGUUCCUACAUAUUUAAUAAAUAUCUCUGUAGAUCUUCUACCAUUAAAAUAGGUUACAGCUGGCAAUAAGUUAUUAAGGAAGGAUUCAAGCUCAGUACUUAAAAAAACCAAGGUAAAAUCAGCUACAGGAGAAUGGUGUUUUAGAGAAGUAAGGACUAUUUAAGAAAACACACCCCUAAUUUUAAUUGAACAUUAAAACUUCAUUAUAAGGUAUGACUAUUUUUCUUUUAAUUACCAGAUGAAUUCCAGGGGUGCUCUACUGACAGUGUACUUGCCCAUAUCAAUACAGCAGAAUCAUCUGUUUUCUACCAAACUGCUGGGUGAAAGAAAGGUCAGAGCUGUUGGAUUUGUUACAUUUUUUUUUAUACGUAGUCAAAAUUACAAUAAUGAGAAAAAUUAUGCUCAUUUGGAUGACAGCAGAAUCAUUCAGACCUGUAUGACCUCUCUCAAAUAAACCAGGACUAAUACAAGCAAGGAUUAUAACCUGGGAUGUAUCUGCACCUGAGGAGCAAGAGAAACAGCAUUGUGGGGGAAAAAAAGGACAAUCUAUGAGUCACAAAGACUUCCUCUGUGUUGAAAGCAGAUGAUUUGAAAGCAUACUUGAAUAAA
rnacentral:lncRNA from 1 species